rnacentral:rRNA from 1 species
AGGACGAACGCUGGCGGCGUGCUUAACACAUGCAAGUCGAGCGGAAAGGCCCUUCGGGGUACUCGAGCGGCGAACGGGUGAGUAACACGUGAGUAACCUGCCCCUAGCUCUGGGAUAGCUCCGGGAAACCGGGAUUAAUACCAGAUACGACCACUUUAGACAUCUGUCGUGGUGGAAAGGAUUCCGGCUAGGGAUGGGCUCGCGGCCUAUCAGCUUGUUGGUGGGGUAACGGCCUACCAAGGCGACGACGGGUAGCCGGCCUGAGAGGGCGACCGGCCACACUGGGACUGAGACACGGCCCAGACUCCUACGGGAGGCAGCAGUGGGGAAUAUUGCGCAAUGGGCGAAAGCCUGACGCAGCGACGCCGCGUGGGGGAUGAAGGCCUUCGGGUUGUAAACCCCUUUCAGCAGGGACGAAGCGAAGUGACGGUACCUGCAGAAGAAGCGCCGGCUAACUACGCGCCAGCAGCCGC